AGGUCGCAAGUCUAGUAUAAGCAAUUAUACAGCGAAACUGCGAAUGGCUCAUUAUAUAAGUUAUCGUUUAUUUGAUAGUACCUUACUACUUGGAUAACCGUGGUAAUUCUAGAGCUAAUACAUGCUAAAAAUCCCGACUUCGGAAGGGAUGUAUUUAUUAGAUUAAAAACCAAUGCCCUCUGGGCUCUCUGGUGAUUCAUGAUAACUUCUCGAAUCGCAUGGCCUUGCGCCGGCGAUGGUUCAUUCAAAUUUCUUCCCUAUCAACUUUCGAUGUUUGGGUAUUGGCCAAACAUGGUCGCAACGGGUAACGGAGGGUUAGGGCUCGACCCCGGAGAAGGAGCCUGAGAAACGGCUACUACAUCCAAGGAAGGCAGCAGGCGCGCAAAUUACCCAAUCCCGACACGGGGAGGUAGUGACAAUAAAUACUGAUACAGGGCUCUUUCGGGUCUUGUAAUUGGAAUGAGUACAAUUUAAAUCCCUUAACGAGGAACAAUUGGAGGGCAAGUCUGGUGCCAGCAGCCGCGGUAAUUCCAGCUCCAAUAGCGUAUAUUAAAGUUGUUGUGGUUAAAAAGCUCGUAGUUGAACCUUGGGCCUGGCUGGCCGGUCCGCCUCACCGCGUGUACUGGUCCGGCCGGGCCUUUCCCUCUGUGGAACCUCAUGCCCUUCACUGGGCGUGACGGGGAAAACAGGACUUUUACUGUGAAAAAAUUAGAGUGCUCCAGGCAGGCCUAUGCUCGAAUACAUUAGCAUGGAAUAAUGAAAUAGGACGUGCGGGUUCUAUUUUGUUGGUUUCUUAGGACCGCCGUAAUGAUUAAUAGGGACAGUCCGGGGGCAUCAGUAUUCAAUUUGUCGGAGGUGGAAAUCUUGGAUUUUUUGAA
rnacentral:rRNA from 1 species